GACGAACGCUGGCGGCGUGCCUAACACAUGCAAGUCGAACGGGGAAACUCAGCAAUGGGAAUCCUAGUGGCGAACGGGUGAGUAACGCGUAGACAACCGGCCUUUUAGAUGGGGACAACACCGCGAAAGUGGUGCUAAUACCGAAUGAGAUACCAAAAGUGCAUACCUUUGGUAUGAAAGGUGGCCUCUAUAUAUAAGCUACCGCUAAAAGAAGGGUCUGCGUCUGAUUAGCUAGUAGGCGGGGUAAAAGCCCACCUAGGCGACGCUCAGUAGCCGGGCUGAGAGGAUGAAAGGCCACACGUGAGCUGAGGCACGGCCCAGACUCCUACGGGAGGCAGCAGUGGGGAAUCUUCAGCAAUGGACGAAAGUCUGACGGAGCAACGCCGCGAGAGUGAAGAAGGCCUUCGGGUUGUAAAGCUCUGUUAUUAGGGAAGAAUGUUCGCUAUGUGAACAAUGUAGCGGAGUGACGGUACCUAAGGAGGAAGCCACGGCUAGCUACGUGCCAGCCGCCGCAGUAA
rnacentral:rRNA from 1 species